AGAAAAGUUUAGUAUUGACUGCCUAAUAUCAAAAUGCAGGCAAAAACUGAUUUCCUGCCCUCCUGUGUGCAUCUCCGCUUGCCUUCCCAACCUAACAGUGGUCAUAUCGGACGGCCAGUUGCUAGAGAGCCACCGCCUGCUUAUGCAUUUUGUUCGCGACUUUUACGAGUCUUGUGCCUCUUUAAAAAAAAAAUCAUCUGAUGAAG